AUAACUUAAAAGUUUCUGGCCGCCUUGCUAAGUGAAAUAAUCCUGUCAAUCCUCUUUUUUUUGUUCUAUAAGAACCUUUUUCUUAUAAGAACGUCCAGCUUGAGAUUUCAUCAAAUUCUAUGAACAUGCUAAGAACAUGUAGAGGUCCAGAAAGCAGCCGCAAAUUAUUGUUUUGUUAGUGUGUGAUGCGUUCGAAAAUACAGAAAUCAAAUUAUGUCUGUAAUGACAACCUUGACUGUUAUUGCUAUUGAUAAAUUGUAUAAUUCUCUUACAAUACUUCAUUGUUGUAUUAUCUACACUGAAAUUUAAAAUGCUAUAAAAUAAGAACGAUACCCAGCCUCAACUGAACAUUAGUCGUUCAUCCAAAAAGAAAGUGCAUACAUAUCAGGCGAAUGACAAAGAGCACCAAAACAGAACUCUUACGGGAGUUGUUGAUUGAACCUUGGCCUACGGAAAUCUUGUGACGUAGUUUCGAUUUUUCGCGCUCUAAUGAUUGGAAAACUACUUGAAAUGAAGGCAGAAUUAGAUCGACUUGGUGGCGGUAUUAAGUACCAUUGUGGAAAAUGAGAUAUAACCGCUUGUCGGGGCAAUUAUCAAAAGUAGUGGGAGGGGCAGAUAUAUAGUUUUCUGUAAUCAAAACUUCAAAUGAUUUCCACGUUAGUUUGUUAUAACAUUGACGCAAAAGGGUAGUUAGACAAAAAGGCAUAUUUUUAUCUCCUAUUAAAAAAAAAAAACAGCCAGACGUUAAUCUUUAUUGAGCAUGAAUUCGAGAGGUCCUUCGGAGCCCUAUAUAUUUUUGCUGUGAUUGCGCACUAUUUCACGAGAACAAAAACAAAAAGGGGAAAAAAAGAUUAUUGAUCUAAAACAGUGCAAAUAAUUUUCUUGGUGAAAAGUGUGGUUAAUAUAACACGAAUGGGCAAAGUUAACGCAAAGAUAUGCGAAACUGUACUUAUUUCAGACACAAAUUUCCGGCAAGAUGGCAGAGUUUACACACCCUCAUAAUUUAAAGAGGGGUGUACCCUCACCGAGCGUAUUUACAAUGAAUUUGCGAGAAAAGACUUUAUUACAAUAAAAUGACUGAAUGGGGUCGGUACCCCAUGUUGAAAAUAUAACUAAUUUCUGCUUUAACAAAAAACGUACGAAAUGUAUCCUAAAGGCGUGAUACUAGAAAUUUAACUAUCGAAAUUUAAUAUAACUUCACAUCCUCCACUCAAAGAGCAAUAAUAUUCCGGUUGUAUUUGUCGUAGCCUUUCAUCCUACCCGAAAUACGAUGACACAGAACGCUUUACAUUCGAGAACACAAAAGGAUUUUGUGUAAACAGUGCUUAAAAACGAAAUCUUAAUAUUAAUCGCGGCUUCAGAACCUUUAAAGGUGGUAAAUUCACAAAAAGGAUCGCGAUUAUCGUGAAUGUUCUGAGGCGUUUAGCAAGUACGACAGUUACAUCGCACUGGCGCUGUUGGACAAUAUAGAAUAUGAGAGUUAAGCAAGUAGUCGUCGUGCUUUGGAUUCUUGCGCUUAUCCUCCAAGUGUCCACUACCGACGCCAAGGCGUACGAAGAGCUCAGAGAAGAAACCCAUGAGUAUAACCGCGAGUCCCAGUCCUCUGUCGGCUGGCGACGGAAGCGGAGUAUUAGGGCGAAAGAUCAAGAAGAGAGCCUUCAUAAAAACAAAGCCAAGCAAUUUGUCCGCUGAGGAAUCUUCCGUGUGUUGUCAAAUAAUUAUUUUUGCAUAUAUUAGUUGUUCGUUUGUAAGUAAGCGUGAUUAAUAAAGAUUUAGCUCAUUACA